GUGGUGGCGGUGUAUAAAAAAUAUAGUUACGUCUUUGCUACGAGUUAUAGCUUUUAGCAUAGUGGUAAGCGCUUAAUCCUAAUAAGUGGU